UUCUUGUGGUUGUGUUUAUAUUUAAAAUGCAUCUUUCAUUUCUGGUGUUCUAAAAUUUCCAUACAUUAUAGCAGAAUGAGGACUGGGUUUUGGUAAUGCUAGAAGAAUGGAUAGAAGCCAUUGUGCUUCAUCAGUCUGAGGGCUUAGGACUCUUCAUAUACAAACAAUCUCUCUACACUUCUGCAUCACUGGGGUAGAUUUGGACCCCACACCAGUACACAGAAUGAGUGUGAUGAAUGGAAUUUUUCAAGUUCCCUUCUUGGAAAAAGGCUGACCCUUGAGGAGCUCAGCUUUACAUGGAGUUUAAGGUUUAGCUCCUGGCUUGCACAGGUCCAGUCCUUGCAUGCAAGGGAGUUAACACAAGGGUCUAUUUCCAGAUUCAAGUGCUCCUAGGGCCCUAACUUCAGUUUUCUCACCUGGUUUCUUUGAGCUCCACAUCCUUUCUCAAACCUGGUGAUUCUUUUGCCUUUUUUCACUCUCAAUUGUCAUGACAUUUUCAGAAAGUAUAUAUAUGUAUGUGUGUGUGUGUGUGUGUGUGUGUGUGUGUUUUCCUUUUUUUUGCCAGUUCUUGGGCUGCUCCUGCGGCAUAUGGAGUAGCCCUAGAAAAGGCAAAAAGACAAAAAAAGGUCAAGAUCCUUUCCUUAGUCCCGUCUGGGGGCAGUGGAUGGAUAGGCAUUCAAGUACAAUGAAGUAAUAAUAACAAAACUACAAUACUAAGGGUGAGUAAGGUUUCGUGAGGACUUACUAUGUACUAAUAGUAUUAAUAGUUCAUGCGUGGACUAGCAUGAACGUCUAGAUCAACUUCAAUAGGGGCAGAAAUCAAUCCUCAUUCUGAGCAAUCAGAACAAAUAAUAUCACUACAGUCAAAUCUUACCAAGAACGACCAAUUCUGCUUUGGCCAAAUAUGGUUCACUAGAUGUUUGCUUUUUCACAGCCACACCUUUGGUUUAAGGAAAUCUCAACCUCCUGUAACACUUAGCAACCCUUUUGAAGUUGUAUGCAAUAUGUCUUUUACCCAGCUUUAUUGAAAUUUAAUUGACAUAUAAUAUUGCCUAAGUUUAAGGGGUACAACAUACUGAUAAAUGCAUAUACCAUGAAAUGAUAGACCACAAUAAGGUUAGUCUACACAUCUGUCACCUCCUAAAGUCACAAUUUGUGUGAGUGUGUUUGUGUGGUGAGAACUUUCAAGAACUAGUCAACAACGUUCAAAUACACAAUAUUGCUAACUACUGUCACUAAGCUGGGCACGACAUCCCUGGAACCUAUUCACCUUCUAACUGGAAGUUUCUACUCUUGGACCACUUUCACCCUGAAAUAUUACUAAUGGGAAUUUAGUGAACGGCAGCUCAAGUCUUUAAGAAAGAAAGAAGAAGGCAUAUCUUCCUUUGUUGCUCUUCAUACAGGAUGGGUGUAAGGCCAAGUGCAGAAAACAUUUUAAAAUACUCUUUCUAAUCCUGAAGUACGAAAGAGAAAACAAGACUGAUUAUUCACUACAAAAGCCUCCAAACAACUGAAAUGGGCAGGUGAUUGGAAGCACUUGUCAGGGAGAGACCUGAGCUCAUUUUUCAUCCUGAGGCCACCUUUACCAACAUCUUCCUGUCACCAGAUGCCUGCCCAGCUCCCCAGGCUCAGAACACACACUGCUGCACAGCCCUGACCGUGAGCACAGCCGACGCCAUGUGAGUGCUGUGACAGGUCUGAGGUGUAAACACACAUCUGAUGAGAGUCCUUAGGUGGUCUCAAAUCUAAGGAUCACAAGUGAUCCUCAGUUACGUGCGCGCGCGCGCGCGCACACACACACACACACUCUCCCUUAGCAACCCCAUCCAUUCCCACAACCUGUCUGCAGGCUAAAUCUCCCAAGAAGACAACCCCUUGCUCUGUGGAGCUUCAUACCAGAAUAUCCAGCUGCCUGAUGGAUCUCCCUGCAGCCUCAAACUACCCAAAGAGUAACUGAUCGUCUUUCUCCCUGUGGUGUUUCUUCUUCCACAUCCUAUCGUUUAUCUCGAUAAACAGUUCCAAUAGCCACCCUUCCCAAAGCAGCGCCUAGCAGUUGUGACCGUUUGUCUUCCUCCCUCACCCUCCACAUCCAACCAUUUGUCCCGCCCUCUUGCUCAUCCCCUAUACACUUUCAAACCUACCAUGCUGCCCGGUUCCCACAAUGUCCAUUCCAGGCAAUGGCUCAGCUCCCAACUGGUCUCCCCCAUCCCCGCUCUUUUCCAGAACAUUCUCCACCAAGCACCCAGAUUGACCUUUCAGAAAUGCAACUCUAAUCAUACCCGUCCUUUCUUUAAAAUGCUUUCCCCACACUGCUCUCCAAAUAAUGACUCAAGCCCUGAUGGUGCCCUGACCAUGGCCUCAAAGCCUGCAUGCUCAGACUCCACCAACCAGCCCAGCUUCAUCUCUCCUGCUUCUGCUGCCAUCCCAGCUCUCCACUCCCUGCCCCAUGAUGGGCACUUAUUUGGACUCUACCCCACCUCUAUGUCUGACCAGCUACUGCUCAUCCUUCAGGACAUAGUCUAAAAAUCCUUUCCUCAAGAUUCUUCCCUUACCUUCCCCACACUGAGAUAGAGCUUCCCGUUCCAUAUCCCCAUGGCAACAUAUACUCAUGCUUUUCUGAGAGAGAUUAGGAACAUCACUGACAAUGACCUCAUCUGGAAAAUCUCCUCUGCUCUUGCCCUGCGUCAGUCUUUCCUGGGUCUAUAGCUCUCUGCCAUGUUGACCAUGACGUUAACCCAGUGUGCUGAGCUGCCCAUUUGCCUAGUUGUUUCCACACUAGACCACAUGCUUCCUGAAGGCACACUCUGUGUCUUUGAUCUGCCGCUCCCCAGUAUCUAGGGCAGUGCCUGGCACUAUGGGUGCUUGAUAACUGCUGGGUGAAUGAGAGAGGAUGUAAAUGCACUGAAUGUGAUGCUUAAAACUAUAAAUCUGGGAGUUCCCAUUGUGGCGCAGUAGAAAUGAAUCCGACUAGCACCCAUGAGGAUGUGGGUUUAAUUCCUGGCCUAGCUCUGUGGAUCAGGGAUCCGGCAUUGCUGUGAGCUGUGGUAUAGGUCCCAGACACAGCUUGGAUCCUGAGUUGCUGUGGCUGUGGUGUAGGCUGGCAGCUGUAACUCCGAUUAGACCCCUAGCCUGGGAACUUCUAUAUGCCAUGGAUGCAGCCCUAAAAAAAGCCAAGCAAAAAAAAAAUAUAAAUAAAUAAAAGCAUAUAUCUAUAUAUCUGUUCCCAUCAUCUUCCUGCUCAAUGACCUUGCAUCUCAGAAUAACAUUCAAAGUCCUUUUCGUGGCCAGUCAAGCUUUGCAUGAUUUUGCCCUUGGCUACUUAUCCAUCCACAUCUCCUAAAGGCCUCAUCAGGGCCCUUGAACCUGCUGUUCCCUCCACCUGGAAACAACUUCCCCCAGACAUCCCCAGGGCUGGCUCCACAGCUGCAUUCAGGCUUCUGCUCAGAUGUUUCCCUGCCAGCCUGGCUUGAAUAGCAACAUGCCCUCCUCACUCCCCAUCACUCACAACCUCCCUGCCCUGCUUUAUAUUUCUUCAGGGUGCACCAUUAUCUGACACAUAUUUGCUGUUUACUGUCUGCCUCACUCUCCUUGAGUGUUAAGUUUGAGAGGGCUGAAAUUUUGUCCAUUGUUCCUAGCUAUUCCCUGACUCUCAGCUGUUGGAACAAUGCCUGGCACCCAGGAGGGGUGCAGGAAAUAUUUGUUGAAUGAAUAGUGGGUGGAUGGAUGCUCAAAAUUGAAUGGCAUAUACAUGUCAGUACUUUUUUGAAUUUCUCUACAAUAAUUAUUUAUUAUAAUAAAAAGAUGUAUGUUCUAGUAUGGAAUUAUCCAUUCAUUCAUUAAAUAUUUACUGGAUUUUGGUCACAGCAGAAGAGCACAGAGGAGGGACCAACCAUUUCCUUAUAGAAGAAAUAAUACUGAAGGGAGCUCUUGAAAGACAAGCAGAUAACAUGCCAGAUAGGGAGGAAAACCCACAGAGAAAAUUGCACCUGCAAGGGGAACGCCAGGGGUGUGAAGCUUUCUCCAACAGUAAAAAAUUCCUGCUACCCAUACUGCCACCCAACUCAUCUUGAAUUGUUAAACUUUGAGUUUUCAAUGUUCUUCAUUAACUUUGAACUCCAGGUUGCUGAUUGAAAAUGAGAGGGGGCUGGAGGAAGCAGGGCAGCAUAAGACAACGUGAGGGUCCUGGACACCCUGUCUGUGGGCAGGACCUUCAUCUUGAGCAUCUGCAUCCCAGGAGCCUGUGACCCAGCGGGGUGCUGUAUUCCCCAGAUAGGAGAAGGCGGGAGAAGUAAUGGAGACCCUGGGCUUGUGCUGAAAACCCCAAGAAGGGCUGGCCAACCCUGGAGAAGCAACCCAGCUCUCCGGGUGGGAGUCAUAUGAGAAGGUUUUCCAUUUAUAGAAGAACAAUGGAAGUCACUGACAUUUCCUGAGAAUGUCUUGCAUGCUCUAAGUGAAAGUUCUUAUUUCUCCUAGUCAGAGUCAGCCUGAGAUAACACUUCAGCAAAGGGGGAAAACCUCAUGGAUGGUCCAGAGGUCUUCGGUAAAUCAUUCUCUCAGUUGAAAAUUUAAAUUUGAAGAGAAAUGAUCUGCUUGCACGCUGCAUUUUAGGACUGUAAUAUGUUCUUCAUUAGAAGAUGACCAAUUACAUCUUCCACUGAAUUAAUAUAAAAAUACAACCCAAAUGCAUGCAUUAUAUAAUAUGUAUCCAACAGAAAGAGAACCAGCUUCCCCCAGCUAUGUUUCUGGUCUCUUUUACCAGAAUUUUAAGUAUAUGCUCACCUCCGCUAGCGCCCUCUUGUUUUCAACCAGCAACCAAAAAGCUCAUAUAAAAAAUGUAAAAGGCAUCUAUCUGAUGUAGUCAUUGGAGGUUUUUGAUAAGCAAAUCCAUUGAUUCUUUGGAAAGUGACACAGCGUAGUGGUCAAGAGUGAGCUCUGCUUAAUUCUGGGUUCAGUGUUCUAUGCUUGUCUCCCCAUGUGUCAAAUUGGGAUAUUAAUGGCACCCACAUUAUAAAAUUAUUGUAAAGGCUAAAGAAAUAAUACAGGUAAAGGAUAUUAUUAUAUUCCUAUAUUAUACUAUUAUAUAUUACUAGGAUAGAGUCUGGCAUGCACUAAGAAAUGCAAAAACAGGAGCUCUGUUACUGCCAGCUAAGUAUGGUUGAGGUAAAUGUGAGCCAGUGUAUAAGAGCUGGGCAUUCUAGGAAGGUUUGGUCUCUACAGUCUGACAAGUUCCCCAAAUCCAGCCAUGGAAAAGAAUGCUCAAAGCCAAGAGAGGGGAAACAGGAAAGAGCAAAUAUUGAACUAUUCCUUUACUGUAUCACUUAGCAAUGAAACAGAGGUAUCCUAUAGUUUCUGUUUAUAUCCUGCGGUGCUUUCUUCCAAAAAGGAAAGUUAAUUUGUUCACCUAUCUAUGGAGAGACUAAGCUUUUCAUUCAAGUAUGGCUUAACACACACACACACACUCACACCCACACCUACUACCCUACAUCAUAUUACACCUCCAAACCAGAAAAUUAUUUCUAAAAGAAGUAAUUUUCAUAUAAGAAAUGGAAGCCAAGCAGAAUUUUCCAAGUGCUAAGGCUAUACGAGAGUGUGAGGAAGUGUGUUAUAUGUAAAAAUUUCUAUAUAUUAAUGUGUGUAUGUAUAUCUAUGUAUGUAUGUAUCUGUGGGCCUCACAUGGGGAUGAUUUUGUCCUC
rnacentral:lncRNA from 1 species